GGCCUAACACAUGCAAGUCGAGCGAGAAAGGGGAAACCCCGGUAAAGCGGCGCACGGGUGAGUAACACGUAGGUAAUUUACCCCCAGGUGGUGGAUAACCUUCCGAAAGGAGGGCUAAUACAGCAUAAGACCACGUCUUCGCAAGGAGAUGAGGUCAAAGCCGGCCUCUUCACGAAAGCUGGCGCCAGGGGAUGAGCCUGCGGCCCAUCACGGUAGUUGGUAGGGUAAUGGCCUACCAAGCCUAAGACGGGUAGCUGGUCUGAGAGGAUGAUCAGCCACACUGGAACUGAGACACGGUCCAGACUCCUACGGGAGGCAGCAGUGGGGAAUCUUGCGCAAUGGGCGAAAGCCUGACGCAGCGACGCCGCGUGAGUGAUGAAGGCCUUCGGGUUGUAAAGCUCUGUGGGGAGGGACGAAUAAGUGCUGGCUAAUAUCCAGCGCGAUGACGGUACCUCUUUAGCAAGCACCGGCUAACUCUGUGCCAGCAGCCGCGGUAAU
rnacentral:rRNA from 1 species